AUUGAACGCUGGCGGCAUGCUUUACACAUGCAAGUCGAACGGCAGCGCGGGCUUCGGCCUGGCGGCGAGUGGCGAACGGGUGAGUAAUACAUCGGAACGUGCCCAGUAGUGGGGGAUAGCUCGGCGAAAGCCGGAUUAAUACCGCAUACGACCUGAGGGUGAAAGCGGGGGAUCUUCGGACCUCGCGCUAUUGGAGCGGCCGAUGGCAGAUUAGCUAGUUGGUGGGGUAAAGGCCUACCAAGGCGACGAUCUGUAGCUGGUCUGAGAGGACGACCAGCCACACUGGGACUGAGACACGGCCCAGACUCCUACGGGAGGCAGCAGUGGGGAAUUUUGGACAAUGGGCGAAAGCCUGAUCCAGCAAUGCCGCGUGUGUUAUGAAGGCCUUCGGGUUGUAAAGCACUUUUGGCGGGAACGAAAAGGACUGUGCCAAUACCACGGUUCGAUGACGGUACCCGCAGAAUAAGCACCGGCUAACUACGUG
rnacentral:rRNA from 1 species